rnacentral:rRNA from 1 species
AUACGGAGGGUGCAAGCGUUGUUCGGAAUUACUGGGCGUAAAGCGCGUGUAGGCGGCCAAGUAAGUCGAAUGUGAAAUCCCUCGGCUCAACUGAGGAAGUGCAUCCGAUACUGCUUGGCUUGAGUCCCGGAGAGGGAUGUGGAAUUCCCGGUGUAGAGGUGAAAUUCGUAGAUAUCGGGAGGAACAUCAGUGGCGAAGGCGACAUCCUGGACGGUGACUGACGCUAAGACGCGAAAGCGUGGGUAGCAAACAGGAUUAGAUACCCUGGUAGUCCACGCCGUAAACGGUGUCCACUAGGUGAUGCGGGUAUUGACCCCCGCAGUGCCGCAGCUAACGCAUUAAGUGGACCGCCUGGGGAGUACGGCCGCAAGGUUAAA